rnacentral:tRNA from 1 species
GCCCGGUUAGCUCAGUUGGUUAGAGUACUUCCUUGACAUGGAAGGGGUCGGAAGUUCGAGUCUUCUACCGGGCA